GAUGAAGAACGUAGCGAAAUGCGAUAAGUAAUGUGAAUUGCAGAAUUCAGUGAAUCAUCGAAUCUUUGAACGCACAUUGCGCCCCCUGGUAUUCCGGGGGGCAUGCCUGUUCGAGCGUCAUUUCAACCCUCAAGCUCUGCUUGGUAUUGAGUCCAUUUCAGCAAUGGCAGGCUCCAAAAUCAGUGGCGGCGCCGCUGGGUCCUGAACGUAGUAAUAUCUCUCGUUACAGGUGCUCGGCGUGCUUCUGCCAAAACCCCAAUUUUUCUAUGGUUGACCUCGGAUCAGGUAGGGAUACCCGCUGAACUUAAGCAUAUCAAUAAGCGGAGGA
rnacentral:misc_RNA from 1 species